rnacentral:rRNA from 1 species
GCGCGUAAAUUGCCCGAAUCCUGACACAGGGAGGUAGUGACAAGAAAUAACAAUACAGGGCUACUUCUAGUCUUGUAAUUGGAAUGAGUACAACUUACAUCUCUUCACGAGGAUCAAUUGGAGGGCAAGUCUGGUGCCAGCAGCCGCGGUAAUUCCAGCUCCAAUAGCGUAUAUUAAAGUUGUUGCAGUUAAAAAGCUCGUAGUCGGAUUUCGGGGCCUGCCGAGCGGUCUGCCGAUGGGUAUGCACUGUUCGGCGCGUCCUUCUUUCCGGAGACUAAUUCUACUCUUAACUGAGCGGAAUUGGGAGACGGGUCGUUUACUUUGAAAAAAUCAGAGUGUUUCAAGCAGGCAGCUCGCUCUUGCAUGGAUUAGCAUGGGAUAAUGAAAUAGGACUCUGGUGCUAUUUUGUUGGUUUCGAACACCGGAGUAAUGAUUAACAGGGACAGUCAGGGGCACUCGUAUUCC